GAAGAGUUUGAUCAUGGCUCAGAUUGAACGCUGGCGGCAGGCCUAACACAUGCAAGUCGAACGGUAACAGGAAGCAGCUUGCUGCUUUGCUGACGAGUGGCGGACGGGUGAGUAAUGUCUGGGAAACUGCCUGAUGGAGGGGGAUAACUACUGGAAACGGUGGCUAAUACCGCAUAACGUCGCAAGACCAAAGAGGGGGACCUUCGGGCCUCUUGCCAUCAGAUGUGCCCAGAUGGGAUUAGCUUGUUGGUGAGGUAACGGCUCACCAAGGCGACGAUCCCUAGCUGGUCUGAGAGGAUGACCAGCCACACUGGAACUGAGACACGGUCCAGACUCCUACGGGAGGCAGCAGUGGGGAAUAUUGCACAAUGGGCGCAAGCCUGAUGCAGCCAUGCCGCGUGUAUGAAGAAGGCCUUCGGGUUGUAAAGUACUUUCAGCGGGGAGGAAGGUGUUGUGGUUAAUAACCGCAGCAAUUGACGUUACCCGCAGAAGAAGCACCGGCUAACUCCGUGCCAGCAGCCGCGGUAAUACGGAGGGUGCAAGCGUUAAUCG
rnacentral:rRNA from 1 species